AUGAACGCUAGCGACAGGCUUAACACAUGCAAGUCGAGGGGCAGCGGGGAUGUAGCAAUACAUCUGCCGGCGACCGGCGCACGGGUGAGUAACGCGUAUGCAACCUGCCCUUCACUGGGGGAUAACCGGGAGAAAUUCCGACUAAUACCGCAUAUGAUGCCUGAACGAAUGUUCGGGUUUUGAAAGAUUUAUCGGUGAAGGAUGGGCAUGCGUGAUAUUAGGUAGUUGGCGGGGUAACGGCCCACCAAGCCGACGAUAUCUAGGGGUUCUGAGAGGAAGGUCCCCCACACUGGUACUGAGACACGGACCAGACUCCUACGGGAGGCAGCAGUGAGGAAUAUUGGUCAAUGGACGGGAGUCUGAACCAGCCAAGUCGCGUGAAGGAUGACGGCCCUACGGGUUGUAAACUUCUUUAGUGCGGGAACAAAUAAAGGCACGCGUGCCUUGUUGAGUGUACCGCAAGAAUAAGCAUCGGCUAACUCCGUGCCAGCAGCCGCGGUAAUACGGAGGAUGCGAGCGUUAUCCGGAUUUAUUGGGUUUAAAGGGUGCGCAGGCUGUCGUGCAAGUCAGCGGUCAAAUGUCGGGGCUCAACCCCGGCCUGCCGUUGAAACUGCAUGGCUGGCGUGAGUGUGAGGUAGGCGGAAUGCGUUGUGUAGCGGUGAAAUGCAUAGAUAUGACGCAGAACUCCGAUUGCGAAGGCAGCUUACCAACACUUUACGGACGCUGAGGCACGAAAGCGUGGGUAUCGAACAGGAUUAGAUACCCUGGUAGUCCACGCAGUAAACGAUGAAUACUAAUUGUUCGGGAGGCAACUCCUGAGUGAUACAGCGAAAGCGUUAAGUAUUCCACCUGGGGAGUACGCCGGCAACGGUGAAACUCAAAGGAAUUGACGGGGGCCCGCACAAGCAGUGGAGUAUGUGGUUUAAUUCGACGCAACGCGAAGAACCUUACCAAGUCUUGACAUCCCUUGACAGACAUAGAAAUAUGUAAUCUCUUCGGAGCAAGGAGACAGGUGGUGCAUGGUUGUCGUCAGCUCGUGUCGUGAGAUGUUGGGUUAAGUCCCGCAACGAGCGCAACCCCUGUUUCUAGUUGCCAGCACGUCAAGGUGGGAACUCUAGAAAGACUGCCGUAGAUAAUACGGAGGAAGGUGGGGAUGACGUCAAAUCAGCACGGCCCUUACGUCCGGGGCUACACACGUGUUACAAUGGGGGGUACAGAAGGCAGCUACACGGCGACGUGAUGCUAAUCCCUAAAGCCUCUCUCAGUUCGGAUUGGAGUCUGCAACCCGACUCCAUGAAGCUGGAUUCGCUAGUAAUCGCGCAUCAGCCAUGGCGCGGUGAAUACGUUCCCGGGCCUUGUACACACCGCCCGUCAAGCCAUGGGAGCCGGGAGUGCCUGAAGUACGUAACCGUAAGGAGCGUCCAAGGGUAACACUGGUGACUGGGGCU
rnacentral:rRNA from 1 species